UGAAUACGAGACGCUAAGGCGUCGAAGUAGUGUAUGUCAUACUUCCAAGAAAAGCUUGCACUGUCAUAGAUAAAAAACGCCUGUACCAUAACCGACACAGGUGGGUAGGUAGAGUAUACUAAGGGGCGCGAGAUAACUCUCUCUAAGGAACUCGGCAAAAUAACUCCGUAACUUCGGGAGAAGGAGUGCCUUAUUCGUAAGGUUGCAAUAACAAGAUCCAAGCAACUGUUUAUCAAAAACACAGGUCUCCGCUAAGUCGUAAGACGAUGUAUGGGGGCUGACGCCUGCCCAGUGCCAGAAGGUUAAAGAAGUUGGUUAGCAAUUGCGAAGCUGAUAACUGAAGCCCUGGUGAACGGCGGCCGUAACAAUAACGGUCCUAAGGUAGCGAAAUUCCUUGUCGGGUAAGUUCCGACCCGCACGAAAGGCGUAAUGAUUUGGAUACUGUCUCGGAGAGGGGCUCGGUGAAAUAGACUUGUCUGUGAAGAUGCGGACUACCUGCACCAGGACAGAAAGACCCUAUGAAGCUUUACUGUAACUUGAAAUUGAAAUUGGACUUUAUUCGCGCAGUAUAGGUGGGAGGCGUUGAUUAUAAUCUUGUGGGAUUAUUGGAGCCAUCAGUGAGAUACCACUCUUGUAAUGUUAGAUUUCUAACUUUGAAUCAUUAUCUGGUCAAAGAACAGUUUCAGGCGUGCAGUUUGACUGGGGCGGUCGCCUCCUAAACGGUAACGGAGGCGUACAAAGGUUUCCUCUGAACGGUUAGAAAUCGUAUCUAGAGUGUAAAGGCAUAAGGAAGCUUGACUGUGAGACCUACAAGUCGAGCAGGGACGAAAGUCGGUCUUAGUGAUCUGACGGUACUGUGUGGAAAGGCCGUCACUCAACGGAUAAAAGUUACUCUAAGGAUAACAGGCUGAUCUCCCCCAAGAGUUCACAUCGACGGGGAGGUUUGGCACCUCGAUGUCGGCUCAUCGCAUCCUGGGGCGGUAGUACGUCCCAAGGGUUGGCUGUUCGCCCAUGAAAGCGGUACGCGAGCUGGGUUCAGAACGUCGUGAGACAGUUCGGUCCAUAUCCGGUGUAGGCGUUAGAAUAUUGAGAGGAGCCUUCUUUAGUACGAGAGGACCGAGAAGGACACACCUCUGGUGUACCAGUUAUCGUGCCAACGGUAAACGCUGGGUAGCUAUGUAUGGAGUGGAUAACCGCUGAGAGCAUCUAAGUGGGAAGCCCACCUCAAGAUAAGUAUUCUCAU
rnacentral:rRNA from 1 species